UACAGAGGGGGCAAGCGUUGUUCGGAAUUACUGGGCGUAAAGGGCGCGUAGGCGGCCUUCUAAGUCGAACGUGAAAUCCCCGGGCUCAACCCGGGAACUGCGUCCGAUACUGGAUGGCUUGAGUUUGGGAGAGGGAUGCGGAAUUCCAGGUGUAGCGGUGAAAUGCGUAGAUAUCUGGAGGAACACCGGUGGCGAAGGCGGCAUCCUGGACCAACACUGACGCUGAUGAGCGAAAGCCAGGGGAGCAAACGGG
rnacentral:rRNA from 1 species